UUUUUUUUUUUUUGGUCUUUUUGCCAUUUCUUGGGCUGCUCCCGCGGCAUAUGGAGGUUCCCAGGCUAGGGGUCUCAUCGGAGCUGUAGCUGCCGGCCUACGCCAGAGCCACAGCAACGCAGGAUCCAAGCCAUGUCUGCGACCCACACCACAGCUCAUGGCAACGCCAGAUCCUUAACCCACUGAGCAAGGCCAGGGAUCAAACCCGCAACCUCAUGGUUCCUAGUCGGAUUCGUUAACCACUGCGCCACAACGGGAACUCCUCAUGUAACUUUUUAAAGCCAAAGUAAGCUUGACGGAGGAUAGGACUUCAGCACCCCAUAGCCAAGCUAGUCAUAUUGGAAAGACUAGGGAGAAAGCCUCUUUCACUGGAUUCAAAGGACAUUUAUCUCUUUAAAUUGUAUUUUUCCCUGCCCUCACCAUUUCUUUGUUUCUGCUCCAAAUGCUUCAGAAGAUGUCAGUUUGGGAAAUUAACCUGAACCAAAAUUCCUGAACUAGAUUAGUUCAGAAUUCAAACAUGUAAUGUUUUAAUCAGGGUCACCAUCUAGAUAGAAUGUGAGCAGGUUCUCCUAGGCUAUAAGAAGGCACCUGUGACAUAACACUGCUCUCUUUCCUCCCUCGCCAGUGAAGCCUACUGUUGAUACCAAACCUCCAGCGGCGCACACACAUCACAUUUUAAAACUGAGCAAACUACAGGUAUUUAUUCUUGCCGUCUGCAGAUGGACCUUAUGGAUUUUUAUCCCUGUCCUAAAGAGCCUUCUAAAUACUAACCUCACUAAAGACUGGCUCAUCCUCCUCCCCAUCCACCCCACCCUGGUUUCCUCGGCUCCCCUCCCACUCUUUACUGUGGCCCCCAAUUUGCCCCUUCCCCAAAUCCCAGGGGAGGGGGAUGCUCAGCCCUCGCGCCACCGAGCGCAGAGGAGCCAUGACGUCACCAGGGUGGGUGGGGUUUCUCGACAGGGUGAACAAAAGAGAAUCGACAAAAUCGAAUAUGAAAACAAGCAACUGUGUCAGAAAAUCGCCGACGCCCACCGCGGCCCUGCCCAGGUGGAUUGCUGGAACGAAUAUUUUUCCAAGAGCUUAAACAGAGAAACAAGGAACCGGGACCUAGUGAGAAUCACCGUGGAGAACCAGGGCAUCCUGAAGAGGCUGGGUGACCGCAAACCCCACUACGACCGAAAGUCGUCGGAGUUAGACUGGCAGGCACGUGGACACUCAGUGCUACUCUGCUGCACGCACAGAGUUUGUCUGUGUUCAGAGGAGAGUCAGUCUCAGAAGAGACCCCUAAGCCGCUGAGGGCGAGGGCAAAAAUCAUGAGAAAUGCAACAACUGAAUUCAAGGCGCUAUAUCAGAAAUACCACCAGAUAUCUUCUCUCCCAAGGUGAAUAGGGUUACUCACCAUGGAAAAGAUACAAGAAGAUGCCCUAGGAUUUCUCAGUUGCUUAGGAUCUCAAGACACACCUAAGUGGCUGAAUGCUCAAUCUAGGAUGCUUAUAAUAAAGCUUGGAACAUAA